rnacentral:lncRNA from 1 species
AAAAGUAACCCUUCUUUCGCCACGUAGGCGGGAGGGAAAAUUUUUCUUAUGAAGGCGGUGAAUCGUUCACCGCUUUUGUCUUACCAAUAUAAUUAGUAAAGACCGUGAAUGGUUCACUGUCUUUUGCUGAUUUAAUAUUUUUUUCUUAUAUCCCAUAUAUAAUGUUAACAACCAUAUAAAAAUUAUAACAAACUAUAUAUAAUUUUAACAGCCUAAAAAUUCUAAUAAUCUGUCAAUACAAUCAUAAAGUGAGGUUGUUAGAAUUAUACGUAGAUUAUAUGGGAAAUAGAAAAAUGUGAGGUUGUUAGAUGGAAAAUAGGAAAAAGUGAGGUUUUUAGAUGAAAAAUAGAAAAAAGUGAGAUUGUUAGAAUUAUACGUAAAUUAUAUAGGAAAUAGAAAAAAGUAAGGUUGUUAGAUAAAAAAUAGGAAAAAGUGAGGUUUUUAGUAUGCGUAGAUUAUUGAAAUUUUUAUUUGAUUGUUAGAAUUGUAUGAAUAGAUUAUUAGAAUUUUCAGGUUGUUAAUGUGAUUUGUUGUAAUUUUUAUGUUAGAAUUAUAUGGAUAGGUUUUUAGUAUGUGAUUUGCUAAUUAUAUUAGUAAGACGGUGAAUCGUUUACCGUUUUACCGAAAGUGGUAAACAAUUUACCGUCUUUAUAAAAAAAAUUCAUCCCGACGCCUACGUGGUGAGAGAAGAAUUAGUUUUAAAAAUAUAAUUUUAGAAAAAUUAUUUCUCAAAUUUUAAAUUCU